rnacentral:rRNA from 1 species
UGGGGAAUCUUAGACAAUGGGGGCAACCCUGAUCUAGCCAUGACGCGUGAGUGAUGAAGGCCUUAGGGUUGUAAAGCUCUUUCAGCUGGGAAGAUAAUGACGGUACCAGCAGAAGAAGCCCCGGCUAACUCCGUGCCAGCAGCCGCGGUAAUACGGAGGGGGCUAGCGUUGUUCGGAAUUACUGGGCGUAAAGCGCACGUAGGCGGACUGGAAAGUCAGAGGUGAAAUCCCAGGGCUCAACCUUGGAACUGCCUUUGAAACUAUCAGUCUGGAGUUCGAGAGAGGUGAGUCGAAUUCCGGGUGUAGAGGUGAAAUUCGUAGAUAUUCGGAGGAACACCAGUGGCGAAGGCGGCUCACUGGCUCGAUACUGACGCUGAGGUGCGAAAGCGUGGGGAGCAAACA